GACGGAGGGUGCAAGCGUUGUUCGGAAUUACUGGGCGUAAAGGGCGCGUAGGCGGUCUGCUAAGUUCGGUGCGAAAUCCCCUGGCUCAACCGGGGAACUGCGCCGGAAACUGGCAGACUAGAGUACCGGAGAGGAGGGUGGAAUUCCUGGUGUAGCGGUGAAAUGCGUAGAUAUCAGGAGGAACACCGGUGGCGAAGGCGGCCCUCUGGACGGAUACUGACGCUGAGGCGCGAAAGCGUGGGGAUCAAACAGG
rnacentral:rRNA from 1 species